CGCGAAUGGCUCAUUACAACAGCCGUUGUUCCCUUGAGACUAUGAAUACUUGGAUAACUGUGGCAAUUCUAGAGCUAAUACAUGCACUGAAGCCCCGACCUUGCGGGAGGGGUGCAUUUAUUAGAACAAAACCAAUCGGGGCAACCCGUCGUUUGGUGAAUGUGAAUAACCCAGCUGAUCGCACGGUCUUUGCACCGGCGACGCAUCUUUCAAGUGUCUGCUUUAUCAACUUUCGAUGGUAGUUUAUGUGACUACCAUGGUUAUAACGGGUAACGGAGAAUCAGGGUUCGACUCUGGAGAGGGAGCCUGAGAAAUGGCUACCACAUCCAAGGAAGGCAGCAGGC
rnacentral:rRNA from 1 species